UGGGGAAUAUUGCACAAUGGGCGCAAGCCUGAUGCAGCCAUGCCGCGUGUGUGAAGAAGGCCUUCGGGUUGUAAAGCACUUUUGUCCGGAAAGAAAUCCUUGGCUCUAAUACAGUCGGGGGAUGACGGUACCGGAAGAAUAAGCACCGGCUAACUACGUGCCAGCAGCCGCGGUAAUACGUAGGGUGCAAGCGUUAAUCGGAAUUACUGGGCGUAAAGCGUGCGCAGGCGGUUUGCUAAGACCGAUGUGAAAUCCCCGGGCUCAACCUGGGAACUGCAUUGGUGACUGGCAGGCUAGAGUAUGGCAGAGGGGGGUAGAAUUCCACGUGUAGCAGUGAAAUGCGUAGAGAUGUGGAGGAAUACCGAUGGCGAAGGCAGCCCCCUGGGCCAAUACUGACGCUCAUGCACGAAAGCGUGGGGAGCAAACAGGAUUAGAUACCCUGGUAGUCCACGCCCUAAAGCGAUGUCAACUAGUUGUUGGGGAUUCAUUUCCUUAGUAACGUAGCUAACGCGUGAAGUUGACCGCCUGGGGAGUACGGUCGCAAGAUUAAAACUCAAAGGAAUUGACGGGGUCAUAGCUGUUUCCUG
rnacentral:rRNA from 1 species